ACCCGGGAUAGCUCAGUCAGUACAGCAAGAGAUUCUUCAUCUCAGGGCCGUGGGUUCAAGCCCUGCGUCGAGUA